rnacentral:rRNA from 1 species
GACGAACGCUGGCGGCGUGCCUAAUACAUGCAAGUCGUGCGGACCUUGUUGAAAGCUUGCUUUUAAAAGGUUAGCGGCGGACGGGUGAGUAACACGUGGGCAACCUGCCUGUAAGACUGGGAUAACGCCGGGAAACCGGGGCUAAUACCAGAUCGUUUUUUCCUCCGCAUGGAGGAAAAAGGAAAGGCGGCUUCGGCUGCCACUUACAGAUGGGCCCGCGGCGCAUUAGCUAGUUGGCGGGGUAAUGGCCCACCAAGGCAACGAUGCGUAGCCGACCUGAGAAGGUGAUCGGCCACAUUGGGACUGGGACACGGCCCAAACUCCUACGGGAGGCAGCAGUAGGGAAUCUUCCGGAAUGGACGAAAGUCUGACGGAGCAAAGCCGCGUGAGUGAAGAAGGCCUUCGGGUCGUAAAACUCUGUUGCCGGGGAAGAACAAGUGCCGUUCGAACAGGGCGGCGCCUUGACGGUACCCGGCCAGAAAGCCACGGCUAACUACGUG